UACGUAGGGUCCGAGCGUUGUCCGGAUUUACUGGGCGUAAAGCGCGUGUAGGCGGCUGUCUAAGUUGGGUGUGAAAGCCCGGGGCUCAACCCCGGGACGCCGCCCAAGACUGGACGGCUUGAGGACGGAAGAGGGGCGUGGAAUUCCAGGUGUAGCGGUGAAAUGCGUAGAGAUCUGGAGGAACACCCGUGGCGAAGGCGGCGCCCUGGUCCGUUACUGACGCUGAGACGCGAAAGCGCGGGGAGCGAACGGG
rnacentral:rRNA from 1 species